UGUGUCUCAGUAGUCUCCUUUAUAAAACAGAAUCGGCUUUGUAAGCAUCGAGUGCCGUAAGGGACAUGGAGUACUUUGCACCGUGCCUGCCAGCCCAGGCCCGUGCUUGGCAGAUGAUAGCUUAUCCUCUCCUUUUUAUCUUUUCUCUGUUCUCACUCUUCUUGUCUCUUUAUUUUUUGCCCGAGCUUCUGUCUUUUCCCAUCGCCUCUCCCAUUUCCCCUCCUUCUUAGAAUUCGUAGAAUCAGAGACUCUCUGACCGUGGAGCUCAGUCUCUUUCCACUUUACAGAUGAGGAAACUGGGGCCUAGAGGGAAGGUGGCUUCCCCAGAUUCACCUGGCAGGUUGGAACUAGAACUGCAGACUCAGAACUUAGGACUUUUUCCUCAGCGCUAAAGCACUAAGCUCUACUCUCCUCCCCACCCUUCCUUACUCUUUUCUUUCUUUGUCAUCUCUGCUCCCAUUUCUCACCCUUAUGCUCUCUUUUCCCUCUCCUCUGUCCUACCUUCCCCUCCUCCUCCGUUCUGUCCCCUGGAGUGUGUGUUCUGGGUUCCAUCUCUGCCUUCUCCUCUAAGACCACGGCCAGGCCACAGGUGCUCCGUGAUUUCAGUGGCAGAGGGAAGGAACCUCUCCUCCCUCCUUUUCUGCUUUUCCUUCCUUUCUCUUCCACUUCCUCUGGCCUCUUCAGUCUUCAGAACAACCCCUUUCACCUGCACUGGGUGUUAACAGGCACUUGUGAGGGUGUGUCACAAGUACUUGAUUACUGACGACCAUUAAGCUGUCAGUGUUGGGGAAGGAUUCCUUUCUGGAGCAGGUUCAGUAUUACCCUAGUGUUAACCUCUCUCAGCACUUCCAUUCUAAUAUGCAUGUUUUUGAAAAAUAUUUUUUUAGUUAUAGAUGGACACAAUAUCUUUAUUCAUUUAUUUUAUGUGGUGCUGAGGAUUGAACCCAGUGCCUCACACUUGCGAGGCAGGCGCUGUACCACUGAGCCACAGUCCCAGUCCUAAUAU
rnacentral:lncRNA from 1 species